UCAAACUUGGUCAUUUAGAGGAAGUAAAAGUCGUAACAAGGUUUCCGUAGGUGAACCUGCGGAAGGAUCAUUACCGAGUUAGGGUUCCUCUCACGGGCCCGACCUCCCAACCCUCUGCCUAUCACACCUUGUCGUUGCUUCGGCGGAACGGUUGGACCCCCUCGAUGGACACAUGGGGGGGUCGUGACCGCCGGGGGUGCCUUCACCCCGGGACAGCGUCCGCCGAUGGCCAACCACACAACUUCUUGUUUCCAAACCGGUCAUCUAAAUCAAACUUGAGAUAAUCAAAACAAAACUUUCAACAACGGAUCUCUUGGUUCUGGCAUCGAUGAAGAACGCAGC
rnacentral:misc_RNA from 1 species